AUAUAUGUUUGUUUCAAUAUAUAAUGCAUUUCUCGGCGUUGAUUGCAAGAUGCCUAAGCAAGAUCUUGAGACUUUAUUCUGUAAGACAUCAAACUUUUGUAGUAAUUUUUUACUUGCAUCGCCAUAAAUGAAACAGCAAGAAUCCAGUUUGGAUAGAACAAUAAUAAUAAUAAUAGUUUGAAUAAUAAUAAUAAGGGCUUGCCUUGCUCACCGUUUGACUUGGUGACUCUGAAUAACUUUGUGCUGAUCUCACGGUCUAGUACCGGCGACGCAUCUUUCAAAUAUCUGCCCUAUCAAUUGUCGAUGGUAGUUUCUGCGACUACCAAGCUUGUUACGGAUAACGGGGAAUCAGGGUUCGAUUCCGGAGAGGGAGCCUGAGAAACGGCUACCGCAUCCAAGGAAGGCAGCAGGCGCGCAAAUUACUCACUGCCGGCACGGGGAGGUAGUAACGAAAAACAACGAUACAGGACUCAUCCGUAAUCGGAAUGAGUACACUUUAAAUCAUUUAACGAGGGCCAGUCUGGUGCCAGCAGCUCUUAUAAUUCCAGCUCUAAUAGCAUAUAUUAAAGUUGUUGCAAUUGAAAAGCUCGUAGUUGAAUCUGUGUCCCACACUGUUGGUUUACCGCUCGCAGUGUUUCAAAUGAAAUUCUUGGAUUGUCCCAAAACGGACAGAAGCGAAAGCAUUUGCCAAAUAUGUUUUCAUCAAUCAAGAACGAAAGUUAGAAGUUUGAAGGCGUUUGGAUACCGCCCUAGUUCUAACCAUAAACGAUGCCAGGUAGCGAUCCGCCAUAGUUCCUGCGAUGACUCGGCGGGCAGCUUCCAGUUAACUAAAGCUUUUGGGUUCCGGGGAAAGUAUGGUUGCAAAGCUGACACUUGGAGGAAUUGACGGAAGGAAACUACAAGGAGCGGAGUCUGUGGCUUAAUUUGACUCAACACGGAAAACUUCACCGGAAGGAUUGAUAGAUUGAGAGCUCAUUCUUGAUUUGUUGGGUGGUGGUAUAUGACCGUUCUUUGGUUGGUGGAGCGAUUUGUCUGGUUAAUUCUAAAAACGAACGAGACAUUAGGCUGCUAAAUAGGCGUAUUUUCCGGUAUCGCAAAGACCCUUCGCGUCUUCUUCGGUCAUUGUUGGUUUUGGUUCCUAAUAGCUGCGUACAAAUAAAUCUUCUUAGAGGAACAUGUGGUAUUUAGUCGCACGAAAUUGAGCAAUAACAGGUAUGUGAUGCUCUUAGAUGCUCUGGGCCGCACGUGCGCUACACUGAAGAGAUCAGCAGGUUUUCCUUGGACAAAAGGUCCGGGUAAUCCGUUUAAGCCUCUCCAUGCUAGGGAUUGAGGCUUGCAAUUCUUCCACAUGAACAAAGAAUUCCUAGUAUGCGCAAGUCAUAAACUUGCGUUGAUAACAUCUCUGCCCUUUGUAGUCACCGCCCGUCGCUACUACCGAUUGAAUUAUUAGGUGAGGUCUUCGGACCGGUGCGCGGCAGCGUUUCUGUGGAUUAAUUAGAAGAAGUAAAAGUCGUAACAAGGUUUUCGUUGUUGAACUUGCGAAAU
rnacentral:rRNA from 1 species